rnacentral:tRNA from 1 species
GGUCCAUUUGCUUAGCCUGGUUAAAGCGCAGGUCUUAUAAAUGACCCUUAGACAAACACAACACCAAAUUGUCUAAGUUUUACAGUAAAAACCUGAGAUCCGGGGUUCAAAAUGAGCCUCCAGUAUUGAAAGUUCAUGAAACUCCCCGAUGGACCA